rnacentral:rRNA from 1 species
UACGUAGGGGGCAAGCGUUGUCCGGAAUCAUUGGGCGUAAGCGCGUGUAGGCGGUCCGGUAAGUCCGCUGUGAAAGUCCAGGGCUCAACCCUGGGAUGCCGGUGGAUACUGUCGGGCUAGAGUACGGAAGAGGCGAGUGGAAUUCCCGGUGUAGCGGUGAAAUUCGUAGAUAUUCGCAAGAACACCGGUGGCGAAGGCGGCCCACUGGAUCGGUACUGACGCUGAGGUGCGAAAGCGUGGGGAGCAAACAGG